rnacentral:misc_RNA from 2 species
CAACCCUUAAGCCUAGCUUAGUGUUGGGAGACUGCCUAAUACGCAGCUCCUCAAAACCAGUGGCGGAGUCUGUUCGUGCUCUGAGCGUAGUAAUUUUUUAUCUCGCUUCUGCAAGCCGGCCAGACGACAGCCAUAAACCGCACCCUCUCGGGGGGCACUUUUUUAAU